rnacentral:rRNA from 1 species
AUGCCCGCACCUAAAACGCCAACGCGGAUAGAUUUAAAAUUUAUCUUGCGAAAACAAGGACCAGUCCCAACAACAUGGCAUCUCCGAAAUGCUUCAACAAGUUGGUUUCUUCCCAAUAAAGGUCUGUGUGGUAACCUCUCUAGCCUGACUCCUUGUUAUUCAACUCUAGUACUUGGUCACCAUAAACAGAAGACACUUGGUUUGCAUUUGCCAAUUGUUCUUGUGGUGAGUUUCACCAUUGUUGCCGCAAUUAUUGUCUUAAUUAUUCUCAGUCGUAAAAAGAGAAAACCACAAGAAGGUGUAACUACUGAAGCAAGAUACCUAUUUUCUGUUUGGAAUUUUGAUGGAAGAAUGGCAUUUGAUGAUAUUAUAAGGGCAACAAAAGACUUCGACGACGAGUACAUCAUUGGAACAGGAGGAUACGGCAAAGUAUACAAAUCACAACUUCAAAACGGGCAGCUAGUUGCUGUGAAGAAGCUUCAUCAGACCGGGGAAGAGUUGGAUGAUGAAAGAAGAUUUCGCAGAGAAAUGGAAAUCUUAUCACAGAUCCGACAACGAAGCAUUGUCAAAAUGUAUGGAUUCUGCUCCCAUCCAGCAUAUAAAUUUCUUGUCUAUGACUACAUUGAGCAAGGCAGCCUCCACAGGACAUUGGAAAAUGAGGAGCUAGCAAAGGAAUUAGAUUGGAAGAAGAGAAUUGCUCUUGCAACUGAUGUGGCUCAAGCACUAUCUUAUUUGCACCACGAAUGUAGUCCACCUAUAAUCCAUCGAGAUAUCACAAGCAACAACAUCUUACUUGAUACAACCUUCAAGGCUUUUGUCUCGGAUUUUGGCACAGCAAGGAUUCUUAAGCCAGAUUCAUCAAACUGGAGUGCACUUGCAGGAACAUACGGCUACAUAGCUCCAGAACUCUCAUACACAUCUGUUGUGACGGAGAAAUGUGAUGUCUAUAGCUUUGGUGUGGUUGUGCUAGAGCUAUUGAUGGGGAAGCAUCCAAUGGAUCUAUUAGACGGUAGUUUGUCGAGUGGGGAACAACAUAUACUGGUAAAAGAUAUUCUAGACCAACGGCCGACAACACCAACAACAGAACAGAAUAGCUUACUUCUGCUCAUCAAGCUGGCCUUUUCUUGCUUGGAAUCUUCUCCACAAGCAAGGCCAACCAUGCGGGAGGCAUACCAAACACUCAUCCAACAACCUUCUUCUAGUUCCUGCCCCGUGCCUUUCAGUGCACUUACAUUGCAGCAAGGGAGUGAUGCAUGUUGA